AUCCUUUUGUAAUACAUAACCAUGAUGAUUAGGUUUUUAUGUUCAUAUGUUAGAUAUACCUCCCUCAAAUCCUCUUAUGAUGUCAGCGCAUUACCCAUCUGACG
rnacentral:snoRNA from 2 species